rnacentral:rRNA from 1 species
UACGGGGGGGGCAAGCGUUGUUCGGAAUUACUGGGCGUAAAGGGCUCGUAGGCGGCCAACUAAGUCAUACGUGAAAUCCCUCGGCUUAACCGGGGAACUGCGUCUGAUACUGGAUGGCUUGAGUUCGGGAGAGGGAUGCGGAAUUCCAGGUGUAGCGGUGAAAUGCGUAGAUAUCUGGAGGAACACCGGUGGCGAAGGCGGCACCCUGGACCGAUACUGACGCUGAGGAGCGAAAGCGUGGGGAGCGAACAGG